rnacentral:rRNA from 1 species
GAUGGACGCUGGCGGCGUGCCUAAUACAUGCAAGUCGAACGAAACUUCUUUAUCACCGAGUGCUUGCACUCACCGAUAAAGAGUUGAGUGGCGAACGGGUGAGUAACACGUGGGCAACCUGCCCAAAAGAGGGGGAUAACACUUGGAAACAGGUGCUAAUACCGCAUAACCAUAGUUACCGCAUGGUAACUAUGUAAAAGGUGGCUAUACUCCCGCUUUUGGAUGGGCCCGCGGCGCAUUAGCUAGUUGGUAGGGUAAAGGCUUACCAAGGCAAUGAUGCGUAGCCGAAUUGAGAGGUUGAUCGGCCACAUUGGGACUGAGACACGGCCCAAACUCCUACGGGAGGCAGCAGUAGGGAAUCUUCCACAAUGGGCGAAAGCCUGAUGGAGCAACGCCGCGUGGGUGAAGAAGGUCUUCGGAUCGUAAAACCCUGUUGUUAGAGAAGAAAGUGCGUGAGAGUAACUGUUCACGUUUCGACGGUAUCUAACCAGAAAGCCACUGCUAACUACGUG